rnacentral:lncRNA from 1 species
GAACGGUUGCCACGAAGAUUUUCAUUCUGUACAGAAUAACAACGAUUAAACUGAAACAAAUCAGAAAUUGAUGACGUGCAUGCCAUGAGCAGCCAGUGAUGCAAGACACAGAGUCAGAGGAAUGCAGCAUAUGAUGCAAUUGAUGGCAGUACAGAUAGCAGGUUGAUCUCCAAUGGGCAGCAGACAUGGAAAGAAUGUUGCAACCUGACGCCACUUCAGCGGUACAAAGUCUAUGGAUUCAUUUGAUGACUGAGCCGCCAUAGCAGCAGAUCACUGACAGAACAGCAGCAGCGCUACAAGGGGUCUCAGCUGUCCGAUACAGCAGAGAGGAAGACAAGCUAAGACAAAGAACAACGACAAUGACACAUGAUGAGUAUCUACAGUUGAGUAACAAGAUGCUUAGUGCAAGUAUAGGAACAGUAGUUGAUUCAGCUGGGAUCCAUGGAGGACAUGCUGUGAAUGUUUCAUCAUGGCAACUCAGUCUCAGACAAGAUUGUUCCAGGUGCUGAUGCGUUACAUUAUGUUCAGCGAGGAUGUUACUAGUCCUUAUCAUUGGUUUUUAAAACUGUAUGCAUGCAGUACUGACAUGCGUGAAAUGCUUUGGUUAAAGGGAAUGUACAACAUUUGCCUUUGCUGCAUUUUUUUCAAAAAUAAAUCGAUUUGGAGGAUUAGGCCCUAGUAUGUUAUGGCAAAUAUUGUUCAAAUGACUGGCUUCACGUUUUGGGCUUGUAUAUGCUGGCAAACCGAGAAAACCAAUCAUGUACUUGAAGUCUGGUUGCCUGAACCAGUCUUAAGAUGAAGCAGAGCAAUUUGUAGACUUUGGGGAAUUGUAAGGUCAGAGAAUCAGUCUAGAAGGCUUGAACCCUUUCACCAGUGUGUAAUCAAUUGCAACGAUAACGCGAAAUAACUAAAUAUGAAAAAUUAGGAACUGUUUUUAUAGCCAUUUUUUCCACUGCUGGUUGGCUAACCAGUGUUGGAAAAAUACAAUUUUUCUUGAAAAUGUCAGCACACCAGGAGCCAUGAUUUUACAGGAUGCUAAGCUUUUGUGUCAUUCCCUAACAAUCAAGUGAAGUACUUCGUGUAAAUUUGACCAUGUCGUUUUUUAUGCUUGCAAAUGUUAUAUCUACCCUUAACAUAUGUUUCAUUUUUGCAAUAAAAUGCUCUUCAACUAUUUCAAUAAUAACACAGUCAGUGACAACUAUGUGUUAAGUUUCAUAUACGUGUAAAGUUUUAAACGCUGUUGAAAGAAUUAAAAUGAAAAUCAUUUUCAGAAAAAAAAUUCCAAACUUGUCUCUUCUAUAGUUUUCAAUUUCUUGAUCCCAUCAUGGAUGGAGGAUUAAAUAAUAUUUUU